GCGCGCGUAGCUCAGUUGGAAGAGCAGCUGACUCUUAAUCAGCGGGUCGUAGGUUCGAGCCCUACCGCGCGCACCA
rnacentral:tRNA from 1 species